GCGGCGGACAAGCGGGUGGCACUGGCGGAGUCUGCUGGUGGUGCCUGCUUCCCUGUGCCAGGUUGUCAUGGAAGGGCUGCUGACAAGAUGCGGAGCAUUGUCCACCUGGGCCACCUGCAGUCACCAACUGUCCAGGUACAUUUCCCACAGGUGUCACCACUAUGCCCCAAGGAGAGGGCAGCGCUUGAUAUUGUCCCGCAUGUUCCAGCCACAGAACCUUCGGGAAGACCAAGUGCUCUCUGUGGAGGGAAAAUCUAGUGACCUGACCUGUAAGAGCCAGAGACUGAUGCUGCAGGUGGGCCUGAUCCUCCCAGCAAGCUCUGGCUGUUACCAUCUCCUGCCCUACACUGUCCGUGCCAUGGAGAAGCUUGUGCGAGUGAUAGACCAGGAGAUGCAGGCCAUUGGGGGCCAGAAAAUCAGCAUGCCCAGCCUCAACCCAGCAGAGCUCUGGCAGGCCACCAACCGCUGGGACCUGAUGGGCAAGGAGCUGCUAAGACUUCGAGACAGGCAUGGCAAGGAAUACUGCUUAGGUCCAACUCAUGAGGAGGCCGUUACUGCCCUCGUCGCCUCCCAGAAGAAACUGUCCUACAAGCAGCUUCCAUUUCUACUGUAUCAAGUGACAAGGAAGUUUCGGGACGAGCCCAGGCCCCGCUUUGGCCUUCUCCGUGGCCGAGAGUUUUACAUGAAAGAUAUGUACACCUUCGACUCUUCCCCAGAGGCCGCCCGGCAGACCUAUAGUCUGGUAUGUGAUGCCUACUGCAGCCUAUUUGACAGGCUGGGGCUGCGAUUUAUCAAGGCCCAGGCAGAUGUGGGCAGCAUUGGGGGCACAAUGUCUCACGAGUUCCAGCUACCAGUGGAUAUUGGAGAGGACCGGCUUGCAGUCUGUCCAAGCUGCAGCUUCUCAGCCAACGUGGAGACACUAGGCUUGUCACAAAUGAACUGCCCUGCCUGCCAGGGCCCACUGACUGAAACUAAAGGCAUUGAGGUAGGGCAUACAUUCUACCUGGGUACCAAGUAUUCCUCCAUUUUCAAUGCCCAGUUUACCAAUGCCCACGGCAAACCAGCCCUGGCUGAAAUGGGCUGCUAUGGCCUGGGUGUGACACGGAUCUUGGCUGCUGCUAUUGAAGUUCUCUCUACAGAAGACUGUAUCCGCUGGCCCCACCUCCUGGCCCCUUACCAAGUCUGCUUCAUCCCCCCUAAGAAAGCCAGUAAGGAGGCAGCUGCUGCAGAGCUCAUGGGGCACCUGUACGACCACAUCACAGAGGCUGUGCCUCAGCUCCAUGGGGAGGUCCUUCUGGACGACAGGACCCAUCUCACCAUUGGAAAUAGACUGAAAGACGCCAACAAGCUCGGCUACCCCUUUGUGAUAAUUGCUGGCAAGAGGGCCUUGGAGGACCCUGCACAUUUUGAGGUUUGGUGCCAGAACACUGGUGAGGUGCUCUUCCUCACCAAAGAAGGACUCAUGGAAUUCCUGAACCAGGUGCAGGUGGUCUGAGUGCCUGUCUCAUAGCGUGGCAUUUACUCUAACACUGCAUUCCUUGGCCUGUGCUCCUCUCCUGGUGGUCUCUGCAGAAACAGGACAGCUCAUGGAAAGUGAAAACGUGUAGAGAAACCAGUAUCUACCCAGUCAUUUGUUCAGGUUAUUUGUAUUUAAAAUCAUUAACUUGAUUCCCUUCUUUGGACUGGCCAUCCCACCAUACGCCAUUCCUUUUAAAACACACCAUUUCAGAAGUUUCUAUUAGAAGACCGAGAGGCAAGAAAGAGACCCAGCUUUGCCCUUGGGCAAGUCACUGCCCUUCUCAGCUGAGUUUCCCACGGGUAGGAUGGGAAAGGCAAAAGGCCAAGGGCCUCAAGCUUCACUCAGUCCAGAGAGCAGGCCUCCCAGCCUCUCCCCUGAGAAGCUAAGCUGAGUGUAAGGGAAAGAGUCAAGAGGCCUGAUUGCCACCAGCUCACUGGUGGCUUGACACAUCUGCUCUCCUACUUGGGCCUCAGUUUCCCCAUCUAUAACAUGAGAAAUUGGAACUAUAUCUGUAAAGUCCUUAAAGCUGUUGCUGUGUGGUUCCAUGAGGGGUUCAUGUUUGGUGAAUCUGGUUCCUCUGAUCCUCCAUGGUCUGGGUUUCCUGCAAAACUGAAUUGCCUAAUAACCCAAAAACUACCUCCAGAGACCUAACCCUACGAGAUGGCUUAAGCACAUGAGAUCAUGUUCCUUAUUGAUGUUUUGUUGUCUGGUUUUGGGUACUGAGGAUUGAACCCAGGUGUGCUAUACCACUGAGCCACAUCCCCAGUGCUUUUCAGUAUUAUCAUCAUCAUCAUCAUCAUCAUCAUCAUCAUCAUCAUCUCACUGAGUUGCUUAGGGCCUCACUAAGUUGCUGAGACUGGCCUCAAACUUGUGAUCCUCCUGUCUCAGCCUUCUGAGUAGCUGAGAUCAGAUUUUCUUGAUUGAAUAAAAUCUAUUAGAUUGAGCCUUUCGUGUUAAUUUGAAACAAUAAUAACAUCUGCUAUUUUAAUAAUUUAUAAUAGCUUACUAUUCCUUUUCAUUCUUUUUCUACUGUUUCCACACCCAAAAAAAGAAAAAAGUGUGGCUGGGAAAUUAUGUUUUAACCAUGUGCGAGCAGCAGACUUCAAGCCUCAUGGUGACCUUGUCUUGGGUGCAGAGUUGGAUCUCAGAGCCACAAUAAAUGACUGUAGAGAGCUUUUCUCUGCCUGAAAUCCAUGGGAAACUGGGAGUAGACUUGAGCUACCAGAGCAACACUACCUGCUUUCAUUGUUCCUGCACACUAGAUCAGGAGCAUGACCAGAGUUUCCAUCCUUGACCCCUUGGAGUCCCCCCCAUGUCCAGGCCUAACAAGAAUCUGUCAAAACCAAGCUCAAAGCCACCACCUCCUGAAAACCUGCCUGACAGCUUCUAGAAGUGGUUCUUCCCUCUGCCUCACACAGCACUGAUCACAUUCCUUCCUGUGUACCAUACCCAGUCAUUCUACAGUGGUCCAGGUGGGCUUGUCGCUGGUGGGGAGCUGCUUCCUAGUGCACUGUAGCUCUUGUCUUGGCCAGUCCUGAUCCCAUGCCCUGUUAGCUGCCCAACAGCUUCUACCACUGCUGUUACUGCAAGAGUAAUGCCACCAAAAGCACAUGCAUCAUUAGGUUCCCAGUGAAUGUACCUGUUAAGCCCUAAUGGCCCCCAGGCCUAUCUUUGAACACUGGAAUACUAGGUUUUCAGACCAGGAGACAAUUCUGAGAGCAAACCUAGAAAGGCCUGGGCACAGGGCCAAUGGCCUUGGCCUUACUGCAUGUUGGAAUCACCUGAGUUCCCUGCCGACGUUCUGGUUUGGGUUGGAGCUGUGUCCUAGGCAUAGAGAAAUUGAAAGCUCCCUGGGUGAUUCUCAUGUGCCAGUCAGUGGAUUGAGAGCUCCUGCUAUAAGAGCCGCCCCCUUGGGGACUCUCUUCAUAGUUGGGCAUUUCUCUGAGGAAUUUCAGUGAGGUAUUACCAGACUUACGCAAGCUCUCUGCUUUUACUUGUCUGGUUUUUGUCAAGAGCUUGCCCAAUGUCCCUGUGCUGUGAGGCAUUUUUACAUACUGUUUCCAUUCCUUAAAACUGCAAGGUAGACAUGAUUCUCAUUUUACAGAUGAGGAAACCUGAAUCUCCGUUAAAGCAAAUGACUUAAAGAUGCCCUGCUAUUAGGGAUCAAAGCUAGAAUCUGGGCACUGACCAAAAACUAUGCCCUUCCCACUGUACUUCUUUGGCCUUGCCUAGGCAAAGUGAUUUCAGGAAGUAAAACUGGAUUUAUGUCUGUCUAAUCAGGUUAGCCUUGAAAGUGUGAGAAAUUAGAAUCCAUGCAAAUGAAUGCUUCAAAUAAUCUUUUUAAACUCUGUUCUUAUUUAUGGAGGGCUAGCCUAAUGGCGCUUCAAAAAUCCAGAUUCCAGGAAUAGAGAGCCAAUUAACUUUAAACUCUGUAAAUGCGCAAGUCCUAGGACAAUUUGAGGAUAAUGUAGAAUCCUGAAACUUAAGAACAGAGGAGAGCUUCAAGCUGGCUGCUCCAGCUGUGAGUUCACAGAUGGGAAAUAGCCUGAAGCAGGAAUGAACUGCCACAUGCCAUCUGACUGGCAAAUGCCAGGGUAGGCACCAUGGCCCCUGGGGUCAGGCCUUUUCAGGGAAAAGAGGACUGGGUCAGCCUGUGAGCUACCAAAGCCUGAGGCUGCUGAAACUGGUACUUGUCCUCCUUAUUUUACAACAGGGAGACAAACAUGAAGAAGACAGUGAUUUGCCCAAGGUCAGCAUCCUGACCAUUAAGCCCAUGUUUCAUCAGGUAGCCAGGGGCAGUGAGUUUUGGUGGAAAGACAAGAGCCUCGAAGAGACAUAAUCUAGAGUCACCACUUGCUGGGGACAUGACUUGAGAAAAUUACCUUUUUCACAGCUCAGAUUCUUCAUUGGUAAAAUGCUUCUGCUAAUGGCACCUGCCUUGUAUGGUGAUCUGGGGCUGACUGUGCUCAUUGUGGUGAAAUGCUUAACCCUUAGUCUGCUUUCAAAAAAUCUUUCCCUGGGGCUGCAGAUAGAGCUCAGUUGGUAGAGUGCUAGCCUUUCAUGUACAAGGCCCCGGGUUCAAUCCCGAGCAUCACCAAAAAAAAAAGAGAAAAUCUUUCCCUUACACUGGACCAUGUAGGGACCCCUCCACACAUAGGAAGCUCAGGCUCUGCUGUUAACUCUUAGCUCAAGACCUGCAUCUUUUGUUUGUUUGUUUGUUUUUUGCUUUCUUUAUAGGAUGCUUUACUGCCUUCCUGGGGAGUGCUGUGGGCAAGGACUAAGCAACACCUACUGAAUGAGUUCAUCUCAGAGCAAACACAGAAAUAUUCAAACAGCGUACCUUAUUUUCUCCCAUUUCUGAACUCACUGAUUUUUACUUCUUGCCAUAAAUAGAUCAAAUGAGGAUGCUGGCAAAAUAACAGAGUAAGACUAAGACUAGAGACUGGAACGGGAUCAGCUGGGCCAUGUGACAGCCACGUGACUGCAAGAUCCUUCCUUGACUUUCUGCACUUUAACUUCCUCAGCCAUAAAAUGGGGAAAUGGUGUUCUGCUCAUAGCUGGAGCUUGACGGUCAUCUUCUCUGUGUUGGACAUGGCCAUGCUGAACAUCCAGAGGUCUGGUCAGAUGACAUUGGACAUCAUGGGUGACCGGCUCCUCAAUGAAUAGAGCUAUGGCCUGGGCUACCACAUCAGCCUCUUCUCCAGGAAGUCCUACACUCACUGACCCCUGCUACCAGGCUCUGCAGCUGCUCCCUCAUCGCCAUUGCUUCUUGUCCCUCUACAACCUGGGCUGUGUGGCCUUAACAGCAAGCCUGCACUACCUGGCCACAUACCUCUCCAAGCUCUAGUCCCUACUGCCAGGGGAGGCUCAUAUGGCUGAACCCCCAAACCCCCAUACUCAGGGCUCUUAAACCUGGAAGGGCCUGAGGAUCUCUCCAGCCCACUCAUAGCAGGGGCAGAGCGCCACAACGUGACGGGGAUUGUCUUAGACCACUUAAACUGCUUCAGUCCUAUUUAAGGGCAGUGAGGAGGCGGCACCGCCUUGCCCACCCAGGAUUUGUUGUGGGCCUAUUUCUAGUCACAAAAGCUUCUGCAGAAAGAAGUCCCAGGGUGGACGGAGGCCCUCUGCUUCCUGCAUACCUUGGGCUGCAGACAUACCUUGGGCCUGGUGUAUCCUGACUGGGUAUGGUACACAGGAAGGAAUGUGGUCAGUGCUGUGU